rnacentral:lncRNA from 1 species
GCGGAUAGAAGAGCAGAGUCUCGACAGAACCUGACUAGUACCCAAACAUCACUCAACAAACGGCUUAGAGACUAUCAACGCAAGAACGACGAGACUAGGGACGGAACAAGCAAAACCAAGGCAUAAUUCUUAGAGCAGCACCGUAGAUCCUAUACAUCCAGAGCCAACAGUUUCGCAAUAGCCACAAAUCCCAUAGACAAAGCCGCUCCAACCAAAUCCGCAAAUCACAAAAUCAAACUCGAAGCAAAUCCAAAGAAUCCCCAAACGCAAGCCGGAAAUACUCACUCAAACCAAAACAAACUAGCCUCAACUACUCAAAGGAGGAAGAGCAAGAAAAAAGCUUACCCGACCUGAAACAAACCUCACCGUGAAGACCUACAACGCUGAUAAGCUAACCUCACCACCGAUCCACCAGAAGAAGCCAAGGCGAUGCAAGACAACAAAAAGACAAAGAACGACGGAGCAAUACAGCCCCUCUCACAGUGACGGCGAGGAGCGCCACUCACCGGAGAGGGAGAUCGGAAUCAAAUUUUCUGGGUUCUCACUUCUCAGAAGUGUCG